rnacentral:rRNA from 1 species
GUGAGUCAUCGAAUCUUUGAACGCACCUUGCGCUCCUUGGUAUUCCGAGGAGCAUGCCUGUUUGAGUGUCAUUAAAUUCUCAACUCUCCAACUGUUGUCAUGACUGGUGGUUAGAGCUUGGACGUGAGGGUUUUGCCGGCUCCCUUGCAGAGUCUUGGCUCCCUUGAAAAAUAUUAGCGCAGCUUUGCACUGUCCGCUUCAGGUGUGAUAAUUUAUCUACGCCCGAUUAGCGACGCGCAUGAAUGGCUUUGUGCUUCUAACCGUCUCCGAAAGAGACAAUAUCUUUUGAACUUGACCUCAAAUCAGGUAGGACUACCCGCUGAACUUAA